rnacentral:rRNA from 1 species
GAAAACUCGGUAAUGAUCUUUCCGUAAGGGUGGACUGCGGAAGGAUCAUUA